GGAUAUUGGACAACGGGGGGAGCCCUGAUCCAGCCAUGCCGCGUGUGUGGACAAGGCCUGUUGGUUGUUAAGCACUUUAAGCAAGGAGGCGGCUACCUGGAUUAAUCCUUUCGGACAGUGGACGUUCGGCGGAGAAUAGGCAACGGCUAACUCGUUGCUAGCAGCCGCGGUAAUACAGAGGGUGCGAGCGUUAAUCGGAUUUACUGGGCGUAAAGCGUGCGUAGGCGGCCAAUUAAGUCAAAUGUGAAAUCCCCGAGCUUAACUUGGGAAUUGCAUUCGAUACUGGUUGGCUAGAGUAUGGGAGAGGAUGGUAGAAUUCCAGGUGUAGCGGUGAAAUGCGUAGAGAUCUGGAGGAAUACCGAUGGCGAAGGCAGCCAUCUGGCCUAAUACUGACGCUGAGGUACGAAAGCAUGGGGAGCAAACAG
rnacentral:rRNA from 1 species